rnacentral:tRNA from 1 species
GCCCGGGUGGCGAAAUCGGUAGACGCAAGGGACUUAAAAUCCCUCGGGGAUUAAACCCCGUGCCAGUUCGAGUCUGGCCCCGGGCA